CCGCUGGAGGAGCGCGGCCGGUGCCGGUGACGCACUUUGGAGCCAGCGCUGCGCGUAGAGCCCCGUCGCCCCGGGGCGGGGGCGGGGCCAAGGCCGAGGUGGGGGCCGCAGGACGGUGGGGACCCGGAGGUGUGAGACUCAGCAUUGACGUCUUUGCGACCUGCAGCGCUCCACGUGCCGAAUCGCCAGGCUCGCACAGUUAUCCCCAUUUCACAGAAGAGGAGACUGAGACUCAGAGCGUUGCUAAGUCUUAGGCAGCCAGGACGGGAACCAUCGCGGGGCAGGCAUUGUUCUCUGGAUCAGGCGGCUCCAGAGCCGAUUUCUUUUUGCUGCAACUGUUUUCUUUUGCGUAUUGGUUGUCCGCCGCGCUCAGGGGAUCUGACACUGGACCGGCACAAACAGCCGCCGAAAGCUAAUAAUUGGGCUUUGUUUUAAAAUGGGCCACAGCAUCUUUCUGAACCUCUCGAUUACGCGCGGUGUAACCCACGUUUGGACACCCAGCCCGAAGAGGAGGAGCAGAUUGCAGAGCCUGGCUUCGGGGGAACCGAAGACAAAAGCAACCUUUUUCCUCCUCUCCUGCUCUAAGUCGCAUCUCUAUUUUCCUCCUUCUUUGAGAUCCUGGCCACUUCCCUCCUAAACCUGCUUUGGAGGAUGCUUGUAUGCUGUGCACUUAAGUCCGGCCCUGAGCCUGCCCUCUCCCUGGGCCAUCAAGAGAAGGCUUUGGGGCUUUCAGCAAAGAUGGGCUGCAGCCGUUCCGAGAAGACAUAAGCCACCAUUUGUCCGCUGCAAAGAAACCAACCUUUCAGCUCGGGAUAGUGAGGCCGAAUGUUGUCCAGAGCUAAAAGGGCUUAUUUUUAGAAAGCAACAAACAGUGGUUUGUUUAUAGAGCUGGCACCAAAGAGCCAUAUCAAUAGCAAAGAGUCUGCUCCCUGAAGACUGGGAAAGCUGGGGUGCUCUAGAGAGGCUGUGUGGGGAACGUUUGGCCCGAAAGCCUAUGGAAGGCGGCCUUUACAUAUCGGCUCAAAACCAAUGUCCCUGAAGGUCAAAGUUAUCGAGAGCAGCAGUCUGUCCUCUGCCACUGACAGACAGUCACCCGCCUUGGACCUUCCUGCUUUUUGGUUUUUCAAGUCGGGAGAAUGACAAUGUUGGACUCAAAAGUCAUGUUGGCUCUAAAAGCCCAUAGCUUAUUUAAAUACGAUGUGAGAUUUCAGGAAAUUGGGCUAAAUCUAUACUGGUUCCUUGCCAUUCCUUAAGAUAUCUUUUUCUUUUUCUUUUUUUGGACCAUGCACGUGGCAUUCAGACAUUCCAGGACCAGGGAUCAAACCUGUACCACAGGAGUGACCCGAGCCACAACGGUGACAAUGCUGGAUCCUUAAUCCAAUGAGCCACCAGGGAAUUCCCUUCAUAUUUUGUUAAAUACAUAUUCUUCUUUCUUUUUGGCUCUCAGUUUGUUUCUAUGUUAUUCAUAUUUUUUCUCUUUGUAAUGAAGGAAUGUCUCGUGGCACAAGCAGAUUUGGGGGGGGGCGGUUCUUGGAGAUCAUGAAUGAUUAAAUUCUGAUCUGUGAGAGAUUUCAGUGUGAAAAUGCCCAGGUAUUCCAAGCAGUAAGCUCAGUUUCUGGAGGAGAGUGUGACUCCAU
rnacentral:lncRNA from 1 species